GUACUGAUGAAGAGUCCCAAACAAGAGGAAAACAACUGUCCAGUAC
rnacentral:hammerhead_ribozyme from 1 species